CAAUAGCGUAUAUUAAAGCUGUUGCGGUUAAAAAGCUCGUAGUUGGAUUUCUGUCAAGGACAACUGGUCCGCCCUCCGGGUGAGCACAUAGUUUGGUCUUGGCAUCUUGCUGGAAACUGCUGCUGCGCUUGGUUGUGUGGUGCAGCUUUCAGCACUUUCACUUUGAGGAAAUUGGAGUGUUUCAAGCAGGCACAUGCCUUUGGACACAGUAGCAUGGAAUAAUUAGAUUGGGCUUUUGCUCCAACUUGUUGGUUCCUGGAGCUGAGGUGAGAAUCAAUGGGGAUUGUUGGGGGCAUCCGAAUUUAGCCGUCAGAGGUGAAAUUCUUGGAUCUGCUAAAGACGGACAACUGCGAAAGCGUUUGCCCAGGAUGUUUUCAUUGA
rnacentral:rRNA from 1 species